UUUCAUGCUGAAACAAAGAAGAAAAAUGUUUGAGUGUGAAAAAUCCAUCACUGCAUGCAUGCGCUUUAGGCUGUAGUGUAAUUUUUAAACAUCAGGCUCUAGUACAAUAAGCAAAAAGCAUAAAUAUACUACACAGCAAUAUAUCACUCAGUGAUUGGACCUGCUACAGUAUAUAUUAUAGUCUUUUCAUGAGUUAUACAACAUAGGACCUAUGUCUGUGGGUGUUGGUAUAUGUUAUAUGCAGAGUCAUUACGGGUGACUUGUGCAUUGCUUGCGCAAGCGAAACUCGAGUCGUCCGAGUGCAGAAAACAUUUUUUUCAGUGUUAUCCUUCGCCCUGCUGAUGGAGAGCAGGGAGGCAGUUUACCCCGCAGCACGGUUCAUUCUGCUCCAGUAAUGCUGAUCUCCGUGUACUGAGAUCAAGCAGAAGGGAGUGCUUUCCAAUUCAGUCUGAUCAUGGACCACCUCCGGGCAGAUCGACAAAUAAACAACCAACAUUGAGAACUUGAUGCUCUCACCGUAGAGUCCAUAGAGUGCUUAGGUUACAGCAAUACUGCAUCUCUUUCUCAAUCUUCUCGGGCUGGUUGGGUACCAGUGUAAAAGUGAAAUAAAAGUGUGAAAGAAACAUGUUACAUUUAAAGCGAACAGGUGCCAACGUGGCCUUUUGCAGUAUGCAUUGCUCAAUCAAUCUCAAGAAGCUUUAAUGGCCGUAGCCAUCUAUGUGGUCACUGAAGUCCGGACCUUUAUAAAUUGAUCAAAAAAAAGUUACCUGAAUGACUCAUUCGUUUUUCUAAACAACUCAUAAUGCCAUCUGCAUAUAUUACUGUAUAAUGUAAUGUAAAAUUAUAAAGAUUAACUCAAGCCACGCGAGGGGGCGGUUGCAGAAUUGACAGUGUUGCCAAAUCCCAUUAUUAAAAAUCCUCUUGAGAUGAGUGUUUUAGCAAUUAAUGAGACACUUUGGGAUAUAUAUAAAGUGAUGAUUAGGUGUAGAUUAGUGUUAGCGAUUUCUAUUAUUUAUUUCUAAAAUACAAGGUGUGAACUUUGUGCUUUAUGGCCUAUUAUUGUUGUUUGUUUUUCCUACUAAUACCUGGCAACUCUGGGUGACCAGCAUCUAAACUGACAGUUGGCAAAUAAGGUGCAUCAUUCAGCACGGGCAGGUUAUUGCUGAGAUGAUAAUACAUCCGGUAAGACAAAAGCAGUAAUCAUCAUGAUUGUGUCUGUAAGAGUAAGUACAAAGACAGAAAAUAAGUCUGGUACAAAGAUGUAGAACAAUUAGGUUUAAAGAGCACCUAUUAUGGGAUACACGUUUUUAAACAUCCUUUUGUGUGUAAGUGUGCAUUAGUACAUGCUAACGAUAUUCAAAAAGUACAUACCUCAAAGAAAACGAUGACGCGUGUUAUCGUCUCUAACGUUAGAGGACUACAAAAAACACUCGGAUUGUAGGCAACAGUUUACUUCCUGGGAUUAGUGACGUAGAUAAGACCAACAUUAUCAUAGUUCAGCCCUCUCUGCUUUGCUUGGGUACGCCCUCAAAGACGAGGGUGGGGAGCGCCGAGUCAGAAGAGAGCUAAAAUGGCGGAGGUUGUGAGUCCCUGCUUUGACUCUGUUUGCAAACUCUUGUUUCAUUGUUUAAGCUAUUAAAUCUCUCGAGUAGACGCUGUCUCUUUAGAUGCGAGGGAAAAAUAGCACUUUAUGGACUUCCACAGAGGACAUCAUGUUUAAUACGGUUCCGGAAAAAUCCAGUCAGAAGUUGUUCACGGAGUUUUCACAAUAACUGCUUCUCAUGAACCGAAGCUGGAUUUGCGCGACGUCUCCUCUUGAAAGUUGGAUUACUGUGCACUUCUGGAUCACAGGCUAUUCGCAGCUGUACACAUCCUUCUACACUGUAUGCAAACAUGCAACAUCAUAACACACAGUACAAGGAGUCAGACUGGCAUAUGAGGAGCAAAGGAACCCAGGCAGUAGCAUCGUUUCACAAUGUUUCCAUCACCAUCAUCAGUGGAUGCCUUUGCCGUCCGUAGCCUGAGAUUUCAGAUUUGCAGCAAAAAAUGUUUGAUUUUCUCAUUUAUUGGAAUGCUGUGCAGGUAUUUAAGUAUUUUAGUAACUUUGUUAAAUAAAGUAGUAUUUACUUUACAAUAAAUUAAUUGCUUGUUUAUAUUUUACAGGUAUUUGUACUUUGCAGCCAUCCAUUACAAUGUCACCAAGCCGUAACAAAAGCAGGAGAGGAAAAGUACAAGGCUAUGUUCCCAAAACACACAAGUGACAUACCUUAUGUGGAGGAUGUGAUCAGGCUUGUGUUUGAUGAGGUAUUUGAAGAUAAGCUGAAGGAAACCCCGAUUCCAAUGGACCUGGCAUCACAGUUUGAGAGACCUUCAAAGGAGGACGUGAUUGCAUGCCAUCUUCAGUGCAGGGGUCGUCGAAAGCCAAAAUUGUGACCGAUCUGAUCAGGAAGCUCCAAGCGUAUCUGGAGAACAACACACGACAGGAUGAUAACCUUAUAGUGUCGUCUUAAAUAGCACCAGCUGACAAAGCUUUGAUAUGCCAUUUAUCUGAAUAGAUAGCUGUAAGAAAUGAAUUGAACAAUUUUUGAAACAAGAGCACAAUAUGGUUACUAAAGUAUGUUUAUUUGUAUAUUGUUUAACAUUUAAAUAUAUAUUUGUAAUAAAUAAAAAAAACUUUUGACUGACUAUUAUAUUUUCUUUAAAGUUACAUCUUUUGUUCUUUUGGGUAUUUUGUUACUAUAAUGAUACUUUAGUGUUAUUGGUUUAAAAAUGUAAUAAAACUUACUCUAGUCCUGCACCUCAAAGGCUUAAGUCG